AAUUAGCCCGGACUCGCACCAAAUGAACCAAAUCAAACAAAAAAUAAUAAAAACAGUCCAUUACAACAAAAUAGCCCAAAUUAUAGCAGGCCUAUGUGGCCCAAACCCAAAACAAAACAACAAGCCCAAAGUCCUAACCCAAAUCAAACCCUAGCCCAACAAAGUUCAGUGAACAGAAAAUAAGGAAACCUAGGGCGCGCCGCAUGGCCGCCUCGCGCUCCUACG
rnacentral:lncRNA from 1 species